AUAUUUGAAGCACAGUGUGGAUGUUAAUGUGUGGCUAAACUGAGCAAGAAGAAAACUUUAUGUAGUCUCUCCGAGGCAAAGAUGGAGCUGAGAAGAAAAGAUCAAUCUCUGCGUCAGCUCAAUAGACAUCUUACCCAGCUGGAGCAGGACAAGCGUCGACUGGAGGAGAACAUCCAUGAUGCAGAGAGUGCCCUCCGCAUGGCAGCCAAAGACAAAGAAUGUGUUGCUAAUCAUAUGAGAGCAGUAGAAAAUACGCUUCACAAGGUCAGAGAUCAGAUCUCGCUGUCAUGGUCUGCGGCAAGUAGGAAUGACUUCACCCUGCAGCUACCCAAACUGCACCUGGAGACCUUUGCAAUGGAGGCGCUCAAGGGCAGGCCAGAGGUGGUAGCAUGCCAGGCUAUGAUUAAAAGUUUCAUGGAUGUCUACCAGCUUGCAAGCACUAGAAUCAUGACAUUAGAGAAGGAAAUGACAUCUCAUCGAAGUCACAUUGCAGCCUUGAAAUCAGAACUUCACACAGCUUGUUUACGUGAAAAUGCAAGUUUACAAUCAAUAGGAUCACGAGACCAUUCAAAUCUCUCCAUUCCUUCAAGAGCUCCUCUUCCUGCUGACACAACUGGUAUGGGGGAUUUCUUACCAUUGAAAGCUGAACUUGAUACUACUUACACUUUCUUAAAGGAGACAUUUAUAAAUACUGUGCCCCAUGCUCUGACAUCACCUCACUCCUCUCCAGUGACUAUGUCUGCUAAUGCCAACAGACCAACUCAGAUUGGAUUAUGACUUCAUGAAAUUAAAAAAUGGAGGAAAAGUUGACAGUACAAUUAAAAUUGUUUUGAAUGGG
rnacentral:sRNA from 1 species